rnacentral:rRNA from 1 species
UACGUAGGGUGCGAGCGUUGUCCGGAAUUAUUGGGCGUAAAGAGCUCGUAGGCGGUUUGUCACGUCUGCUGUGAAAUCCCGAGGCUCAACCUCGGGCCUGCAGUGGGUACGGGCAGACUGGAGUGCGGUAGGGGAGAAUGGAAUUCCUGGUGUAGCGGUGGAAUGCGCAGAUAUCAAGAGGAACACCUGAGGUGAAGACGGGUUGCUGGGCCAACACUGACGCUGAUGCGCGAAAGCCAGGGGAGCAAACGGG